UACAGAGGUCUCAAGCGUUGUUCGGAAUUACUGGGCGUAAAGGGUGCGCAGGCCGCGCGGGCAGUCAAAUGUGUAAUCCAGGGGCUCAACCCCUGAACUGCGCUUGAUACUUCCGCGCUCGAGCUUUGGAGAGGAGUCUGGAAUUCUCGGUGUAGCAGUGAAAUGCGUGGAUAUCGAGAAGAACACUUAGGGCGUAGGCAAGACUCUGGACAAGUGCUGACGCUCAUGCACGAAGGCUAGGGUAGCGAACGGG
rnacentral:rRNA from 1 species